rnacentral:misc_RNA from 1 species
GCAAAAGAGCAGAAGAAGGCUGAAGCACGGAAAUGAUUUUCCUGAAAAAUGUCAUUUCAAACGAGCAGUACCCUCUAUAGUACCCAGUGAAUUUGGUAGUUAGUGCCCUCCAUAAUACUAGAGAACAUGUUAAUUGGUUUAUAAUUAUUGUAACUGUGCGGAAUUGUGCCAACUAAAAGUUUCUUUCCUUAUUACAUUACACAAUUAAUUAUAUUUUUAUGUCUUGAAA